CAAUAGCGUAUAUUAAAGUUGUUGCAGUUAAAAAGCUCGUAGUCGGAUUUUGGCAUCACGCCGAACUGUCUGCCGAUUGGUAAGUACGGUUUGGCGGGUGCUUCCUUCCGGAGGCUCGUUCCCUUCUUCAUUGAAGGGUUCGUUGGUUCCGGGUCUUUUACUUUGAGAAAAUUAGAGUGUUCAAAGCAGGCCUAUGCUCUGAAUAGGUUAGCAUGGAAUAAUAAGAUAAGACCUUGGUCUAUUUUGUUGGUUUGUACUCCAAGGUAAUGAUUAAUAGGGACAGUUGGGGGUAUUCGUAUUCAAUUGUCAGAGGUGAAAUUCUUGGAUUUAUUGAAGACGAACUACUGCGAAAGCAUUUACCAAGGAUGUUUUCAUUAAUCAAGAACGAAAGUUAGGGGAUCGAAGACGAUCAGAUACCAU
rnacentral:rRNA from 1 species